rnacentral:SRP_RNA from 1 species
GCUGGGUGUGGUGGUGCACACCUGUAAUCCCAGCUACUUGGGAGGCUGAGGCAGGAGAAUUGCUUGAGUCUGGAAAGUGGAGGUUGCAGUGAGCCAAGAUGGUGCCACUGUACUCUAUCCUGGCCGACAGAGCAAGACUCUGUCUCAA